GAUGAACGCUGGCGGCGUGCCUAAUACAUGCAAGUCGAGCGAACAGACGAGGAGCUUGCUCCUCUGACGUUAUCGGCGGACGGGAGAGUAACACGUGGAUAACCUACCUAUAAGACUGGGGUAACUUCGGGAAACCGGAGCUAAUACCGGAUAAUAUAUUGAACCUGAUGGGUCAAUCGUGAGAGACGGUUUUUCUGUGACUAAUAGAUGGAUCCGCCCCGUAUUAGCUAGUUGGUCCGGUAACGGCUUACCAAGGCAACGAUGCGUAGACGACCCGAGGGGAUGAUCGGCAGCACUUGAGAUGGGACACGCUCCAACACCGUAAGGGAGGCAGCAGUCGGGCAUCUACGGCAAUGGGCGAUAGCGUGUCGGAGCCACGCGGCGUGAGUGAUGACGGUCUUCGCCUCGUAAAUCAUUGUUAUUAGGGAAUAAUAAAUCUGUAUGUCCCGAUGCGAGUCUUGCCGUUCCCUGAUCAGAAGGCCCCGCUUACUCCCUU
rnacentral:rRNA from 1 species